GUGGGGAAUCUUGCGCAAUGGGCGAAAGCCUGACGCAGCCAUGCCGCGUGAAUGAUGAAGGUCUUAGGAUUGUAAAAUUCUUUCACCGGGGACGAUAAUGACGGUACCCGGAGAAGAAGCUCCGGCUAACUUCGUGCCAGCAGCCGCGGUAAUACGAAGGGGGCUAGCGUUGCUCGGAAUUACUGGGCGUAAAGGGCGCGUAGGCGGACAGCUUAGUCAGAGGUGAAAGCCCAGGGCUCAACCUUGGAAUUGCCUUUGAUACUGGCUGUCUUGAGUUUGGGAGAGGUGAGUGGAACUCCGAGUGUAGAGGUGAAAUUCGUAGAUAUGCGGAAGAACACCAGUGGCGAAGGCGACUCACUGGCCCAAUACUGACGCUGAGGCGCGAAAGCGUGGGGAGCAAACAGGAUUAGAUACCCUAGUAGUCC
rnacentral:rRNA from 1 species